UACGGAGGGUGCAAGCGUUGUUCGGAAUCACUGGGCGUAAAGGGCGCGUAGGCGGCCGAUCAAGUCAGUUGUGAAAUCCCACGGCUCAACCGUGGAAGUGCAAAUGAAACUGGUUGGCUUGAGUACCGGAGGGGAAUGUGGAAUUCCCGGUGUAGAGGUGAAAUUCGUAGAUAUCGGGAGGAACACCGGUGGCGAAGGCGACAUUCUGGACGGAUACUGACGCUGAGGCGCGAAAGCGUGGGGAGCAAACAGG
rnacentral:rRNA from 1 species